rnacentral:lncRNA from 1 species
AAGGCAUGAAGUGAAUUUAUCCAGAGAAAUGAGGAAGUACAACAGCCAGAAAAGAUAGACCUUUAUCACAGACCACAGUAUUUUUUUUUAAAAAAAGAAGGACAAUCAACACUUUUGGCCAAAGGGCAAAAAAAAAAAGUAUUCAGCGACUGUAAAUGAGAUGAGAUAGUACAGAUUUGUCUGCUUCUACUUUAUGAUCCUUGCCCCUAACUAAUACUGAGAUUCUCUCCCUGUGAAGAAUUCCUUCUUCUCCCCUCCUGCUUGACUGCUAAGGCAAGAGCUUCCCGCGCAGUGGAAACCAAGAAACAUUGGGAUUCUGGAAUGAGAAUUUUUCAUUUCUUGAAGUCAACUGGCCCAGAUGUCUGACAGGUACUGGUGGAAGUCUUGAGAAAGUUCUUUUGCGGGGCAGGACUCUGGAACAU